rnacentral:tRNA from 1 species
GCGCCGUUAGCUCAAUAGGCAGAGCAGCAGACUCUUAAUCUGCGGGUUCGGGGUUCAAGUCCCUGACGGCGCACCC